UACGUAGGGUGCGAGCGUUGUCCGGAAUUACUGGGCGUAAAGAGCUCGUAGGUGGUUUGUCGCGUUGUCCGUGAAAACUCACAGCUUAACUGUGGGCGUGCGGGCGAUACGGGCAGACUGGAGUACUGCAGGGGAGACUGGAAUUCCUGGUGUAGCGGUGGAAUGCGCAGAUAGUCAGGAGGAACACCGGUGGCGAAGGCGG
rnacentral:rRNA from 1 species